rnacentral:rRNA from 1 species
GGUAUCUAAUCCUGUUCGCUCCCCACGCUUUCGUCCCUCAGCGUCAGUACAUACGUAGUAGACUGCCUUCGCAAUCGGUAUUCUGUGUAAUAUCUAUGCAUUUCACCGCUACACUACACAUUCUAUCUACUUCCAUAUGACUCAAGUCAACCAGUAUCAAAGGCAGUUCCAUAGUUGAGCUAUGGGAUUUCACCUCUGACUUAAUCGACCGCCUGCGGACCCUUUAAACCCAAUGAUUCCGGAUAACGCUCGGACCCUCCGUAUUACCGCGGCUGCUGGCACGGAGUUAGCCGGUCCUUAUUCUUACAGUACCGUCAAGCUGGUAUACAUACCAGUGUUUCUUCCUGUAUAAAAGUAGUUUACAACCCAUAGGGCAUUCUUCCUACACGCGGCAUGGCUGGAUCAGAGUCUCCUCCAUUGUCCAAUAUUCCUCACUGCUGCCUCCCGUAGGAGUCUGGUCCGUGUCUCAGUACCAGUGUGGGGGAUCUCCCUCUCAGGACCCCUACCUAUCGCUGUCUUGGUAAGCCGUUACCUUACCAACUAACUAAUAGGACGCAUAGCCAUCUUUUACCGAUAAAUCUUUAAUUAAAUAUUCAUGCGAAUACUCAAUACUAUGAGGCAUU